AUUGAACGCUGGCGGCAGGCUUAACACAUGCAAGUCGAACGAUGAAGAUAUAGCUUGCUAUAUCGGAUUAGUGGCGGACGGGUGAGUAACACUUAGGAAUCUACCUUUUAGCGGGGGAUAGCUCGGGGAAACUCGAAUUAAUACCGCAUAAUUUCUACGGAAUAAAGAGGGCUUUUAGCUCUCACUAGAAGAUGAGCCUAAGUAAGAUUAGCUAGUUGGUGGGGUAAAAGCCUACCAAGGCGACGAUCUUUAGCUGGUCUGAGAGGAUGAUCAGCCACACUGGGACUGAGACACGGCCCAGACUCCUACGGGAGGCAGCAGUGGGGAAUAUUGGACAAUGGGGGCAACCCUGAUCCAGCCAUGCCGCGUGUGUGAAGAAGGCCUUUUGGUUGUAAAGCACUUUAGGCAGUGAAGAAGACCUAUUGGUUAAUACCCAAUAGCGAUGACAUUAACUGUAGAAUAAGCACCGGCUAACUCUGUGCCAGCAGCCGCGGUAAUACAGAGGGUGCAAGCGUUAAUCGGAAUUACUGGGCGUAAAGCGAGCGUAGGUGGUUAAAUAAGUCAGAUGUGAAAGCCCUGGGCUCAACCUGGGAACGGCAUCUGAAACUAUUUAACUAGAGUAGGUGAGAGGGAAGUAGAAUUUCAGGUGUAGCGGUGAAAUGCGUAGAGAUCUGAAGGAAUACCGAUGGCGAAGGCAGCUUCCUGGCAUCAUACUGACACUGAGGCUCGAAAGCGUGGGUAGCAAACAGG
rnacentral:rRNA from 1 species